rnacentral:rRNA from 1 species
GGGUGCGAUCAUUUCAGCACUAAUGCAUCGGAUUCCAUCGAAACUUCGAAGUUAAACGCUUGAGCGAGAAUAGUUCUAAGAUGGGCUUGUCUUAUCACUUUCA